rnacentral:rRNA from 1 species
GAGUAACGCGUAAGUAAUCUACCCUGGCAUCUGCAAUAACCCACCGAAAGGUGUGCUAAUACCGGAUACGCUGAUUUAUCAGGAAAGGUGGCCUCUUCAUGAAAGCUACUGUGCCGGGAGGAGCUUGCGUACCAUUAGCUAGUUGGUGGGGUAAUGGCCUACCAAGGCGACGAUGGUUAGCGGGUCUGAGAGGAUGAUCCGCCACACUGGAACUGGAACACGGACCAGACUCCUACGGGAGGCAGCAGUGAGGAAUAUUGCGCAAUGGGGGAAACCCUGACGCAGCGACGCCGCGUGGAUGAUGAAGGCCUUCGGGUCGUAAAAUCCUGUCAGAUGGAAAGAAAUGGUAUAUGCCUAAUAUGUGUAUACCUUGACGGUACCAUCAAAGGAAGCACCGGCUAACUCCGUGCCAGCAGCCGCGGUAAUACGGAGGGUGCAAGCGUUGUUCGGAAUUACUGGGCGUAAAGCGCGCGUAGGCGGCUUUUUAAGUCAGAUGUGAAAGUCCACGGCUCAACCGUGGAAGUGCAUUUGAUACUGGGAAGCUUGAGUACUGGAGGGGAUGGUGGAAUUCCCGGUGUAGAGGUGAAAUUCGUAGAUAUCGGGAGGAAUACCGGUGGCGAAGGCGACCAUCUGGCCAGAUACUGACGCUGAGGUGCG